rnacentral:rRNA from 1 species
AAGGAUUCCCCUAGUACGGGCGACGGAAGCGGGAAAAGCCCACAUUGGUAAUCUGCUGCCGUUAGGUAGUCGAAUUGUAAUCUGAAGACGGUUAGCUUACCUGGACUAUCGCCGAAGUAUGCACGAGCGCAUCGCCAAAGAGGGUGAGAGCCCCGUAAGGUGAGAAGUCCUACAAAAGCUGGUUGUCCAAGAGUCGUGUACUUUGAUACUAGUGCACCAAGCGGGAGAUAAACUUCUUCUAAGGCUAAAUAUAAGUAGGAAACCGAUAGCGAACAAGUACUGUGAAGGAAAGAUGAAAAGCACUUUGGAAAGAAAGUUAAAAGACUUGAAAUCGUUGAGGCGGACCCGGUAGAAAUGUAUUCUAGCGAAACACUCUGGGAAGUCUCUAAGGGGGCCACUUGAGUGUUAGCCGAGACAAGAUGGAGUCGCACAAUGCCAGAUACCGUGUGUUAGUGGUUUCGGCUAAGAGCAUGCUGGUCGGGUGUUGAGCGGCUUGAGGGGCCUUGAGCGAUCUUGUCAAAAUGGUUUUUACCGACUCGUCUUGAAACACGAACCAAGGAGUCUAAGACUAACGCGAGUAUGGUGGUGGAGAAACCAACAUGCGAAAUGAAAGUAAAUGAUGCCAAGCACCCUGCAGCAUCGACCGACUUUUUUCACUUGGAAGAGGUUUGAGUAAGAGCGUUAUUCUUAGGA